UACGGAGGGUGCAAACGUUGCUCGGAAUCAUUGGGCGUAAAGCGCACGUAGGCGGUCCUUUAAGUCGGGUGUGAAAGCCCAAGGCUCAACCUUGGAAGUGCAUUUGAAACUGAAGGGCUUGAGUACGGAAGAGGGUCUCGGAAUUCCCGGUGUAGAGGUGAAAUUCGUAGAUAUUCGGAAGAACACCAGUGGCGAAGGCGACUCACUGGACAUGUAUUGACGCUGAGGUGCGAAAGCGUGGGGAGCAAACAGG
rnacentral:rRNA from 1 species